rnacentral:lncRNA from 1 species
GUGUGCCUACACUAUCAUCACAUAUUAUCUGUACUAUCAUUAUCAAGUGGUAGGAUGUGAUGAUUGAUAACAAACAGUUUCAGUCAUGGGUUUCAGAUUCAAGCGUUUCAGGUCUGACGUGUGAAAUUGUUGGUAAAUAUAACAAAUAAUAUACAGGUCAAUUUGCUACUGACUAGCUUGUAGUUGGUAGUCAUCAAGGUCCAGUUUGAUAUCCGGAUAAUAAUAAUCUAGCAGUUCUGAAGAAAGUAUGAUAAAAAGGUUUAGAACAUUUCAGAUGGUGAAGUUUUACAGAACCAAUAAUUAAGUAAUAAUCUGGAAAAUUGGUGAUUAUUAAACAUUUGCCAUUAUUGAUAUUUUAUCCAGGUACAGAUUUUAGCGCUUUCUGGAUUUGUUAUGGAACUCAAUUAUUGACUACAUUUUAAGAUAAAAAUUUGUGUAUUAAGUAACACAAUUAUAAAGUUUAUCCAAGAGAACAAGAGCGUAAUUGAGGGGCAUGAAGAGGGAAUUCACUCCCUCAUCGCUGUAAUUUUUUCUAUAUAAUACAUUAAUUAAUAAUUUAUUUAAAAAAUUUUCCGUUUGAUAAAAAUCAUAAAUCUUAAUGAUAUCAAACUAAACAUAAUAAGAAUUUUAUGCCUAUUUAGGUAAUCAACUGUAAAUUAUUUUUAGUUUGUAUAGAAGAAAAAUUAAUUCCCCCUCUCCCCAUGGUCACAACUCAAAUACGCCCUUGCAGAAAAAACUAAAUUAAUAAACUUAAAAACAAAAUUAUGAGAGAAAAUAUUCAUUGAUAUUCAAAAUAAAUCAUGUAGUAAUUUUCAAAAUGUUUAUAUUUAAUCUAAGCUAUUGCCUAUUUAUAUGCUAUAUUAAUAUAUUCACGUUGUUUUAUGCUGUCUGAAUUGACUUAACUGAAGAAUUAAUAAUAAUAACAAUAUACGGUACAAAUAUUAUGUACUUAAAUGAUAAAUAGACAUUAACUAUUUGAUAAAUUCAAUGUAUUCCUAAUAAUUUAGGCUGAUGAGUGAUGAACUUGCUUCACAUUAAGCGCAUAACCAGAUAGCCGUCGAUUUUGCAUUUAGUUCAUUACACGCAGUCAGUUUCUGAUUGGUUUUCCAAAUUCCCAUCCACCGUCUACUAUGCCGUGCAGCACAGUUAGUUGAUUAUGAUGAUUUUAAAGUUGAAAAAAUGUUGGUUCAGAAUUUGGAUUAAGAACAAUUAUACCAGUAUCAUCUGAAAAAGUGUGAAGAGGUAUGGUGCCGUUGAGUGGGAUAUCUAAAGUAUAAAUGCUAUACAUGCAAGGAUAUUUUUAGAAAUUCCAUCAUUAAUAGGAUUUUAUUUAAAUGAGGGUCACUACAUAAUACUUAAAAGAUUGAUUGAUUAGAUAAUAAUGUGCAGACAAAAUCUUAGUGAGUAUAUUAGACCACUGUGCUUGAUACAAUCAUAUUAUUUUUUAUUUGAAUAGAAUAGAAUCUUUUAAGAACGAUUUUUUUCAAUAUUUUGGAUAAUGUUGGAAGUAAUUGCAUAGAUAUAGAGAAAUAUAAUGUAGAAGAUUUGUUUGAUUUUGAUUUUGAAAUUGAAAUUAUGUUUGAUUUCUUCCAGAAUAAGGGAAAAUACAAGUCUCAGAGUAAUGUUAUAAAAUUGUGUUAAAAUUAAUAUUGCUUUUUUGGAAGGGUUCUUAUCAUAUUAUUAUCCCCAGAUGCUUUUUUAUAAUUUCAUAAGGGUUGGGAGAAAAAAAUAUCGGAAAAUAAUGGUUUAUCAAGUGUCAUCGUGGCCUUAUAUGCCUUCAUGGCUUGAUAAUGUUAUGUAUUGGUGUGUAGUCAGAAGUUUUUUCUAGAUAUAAAUUUCUAAGAUUAGUUUUUUUUUUGUUUGGAGAUAGCAAGAAAAUUAUCUAUAUUUCCUAAUGUGAGAAUAGUUUUACAAUAGACUAAAAUUCUAAAGAGUAUUAGGUAGUUUAUUAAAUAUUUUUUUUUCACUUGGCAUUCUUGUUCUUUGUCAAUAAUGUUGUUUUUGUUUAAAGCAUUUUUAAUACUUAAUAGAUAUGAUGAGAAUGUUUUUUUUCUUAAUGGCUAGGGUAGAUUCUAGAAAUAAAUAAUGCAGCAUUUUCAAUUAUUUCUAUGAAUGAAUUACAUUAUUAAUUUCAACGUUAGAUUUUAGUGAUUAGAAAUCUUUUAGUAAUUUGUUUAAAUAAAUUCAUGUUAGAAUAUUAU